rnacentral:rRNA from 1 species
UAAACCGACACAGGUGGGAAGGUAGAGUAUACCCAGGGGCGCGAGAUAACUCUCUCUAAGGAACUCGGCAAAAUGGCCCCGUAACUUCGGGAGAAGGGGUGCCACCGAGAGGUGGUCGCAGUGAAGAGUCCCAGGCGACUGUUUACCAAAAACACAGGUCUCCGCUAAGUCGCAAGACGAUGUAUGGGGGCUGACGCCUGCCCAGUGCCGGAAGGUUAAGGAAGUUGGUCAGGGAGCAAUCCUGAAGCUAGCGACUGAAGCCCCGGUGAACGGCGGCCGUAACUAUAACGGUCCUAAGGUAGCGAAAUUCCUUGUCGGGUAAGUUCCGACCCGCACGAAAGGCGUAACGAUCUGGGAGCUGUCUCGGAGAGAGGCUCGGCGAAAUAGGAAUGUCUGUGAAGAUACGGACUACCUGCACCCGGACAGAAAGACCCUAUGAAGCUUUACUGUAGCUUGGUAUUGGGUUCGGGCUUUGAUUGCGCAGGAUAGGUGGGAGACUAUGAGAUAGCUCUUGUGGGAGUUAUGGAGUCACUGGUGAGAUACCACUCUAUCAAGGCUAGAAUUCUAACUUUGACCCGUUAUCCGGGCAGAGAACAGUAUCAGGUGGGCAGUUUGACUGGGGCGGUCGCCUCCUAAAUGGUAACGGAGGCGCGCAAAGGUUCCCUCAGGCUGGUUGGAAAUCAGCCAUUGAGUGUAAAGGCAUAAGGGAGCUUGACUGCGAGACUGACAAGUCGAGCAGGUACGAAAGUAGGCCUUAGUGAUCCGACGGUUCCGCGUGGAAGGGCCGUCGCUCAACGGAUAAAAGUUACUCUAGGAUAACAGGCUGAUCUCCCCCAAGAGUUCACAUCGACGGGGAGGUUUGGCACCUCGAUGUCGGCUCAUCGCAACCUGGGGCUGUAGUCGGUCCCAAGGGUUGGGCUGUUCGCCCAUUAAAGCGGUACGUGAGCUGGGUUCAGAACGUCGUGAGACAGUUCGGUCCAUAUCCGGUGCAGGCGUAGGAACAUUGAGAGGAGUCUUCCUUAGUACGAGAGGACCGGGAAGAACGCACCGCUGGUGUACCUGUUAUCGUGCCAACGGUAAACGCAGGGUAGCCAAGUGCGUAGAGGAUAACCGCUGAAAGCAUCUAAGUGGGAAGCCCACCUCAAGAUGAGUGUUCCCAUGGCAAAAGCCAGUAAGGUCACGGGUAGACCACCCGUUAAUAGGCGCUAGAUGGAAGUCCAGCAAUGGAUGUAGUCGAGGCGUACUAACAGACCGAGGGCUUGAC